rnacentral:lncRNA from 1 species
CAGGUGGAGCACAUGGGAACGGGCCAUGCGGCCGCCCGGGCCUGCUCGCGCUCUUGAGGUUAGGUGAGCCAGAUUCGGGAGAAGGAGCCAUUAAUGCCACCCGCCACUUACAGGGUGGUGGAGGGGGGUACCCAUCCACCCCAAGGACGCGCCGACGGUGCUGGCUCGCUGGCGCACAGCGGGCCUGGCCCCUCCAGGCCCCGCCCGGGUGACCUUGGGCGAACCGCCCUCACCUCCGCCGGCUGUGCUCGGCUCCUCCCCGCCGUCCCCGGCCCGGACACUGACCGGAGAUGGGUUCGACGCCCGGACCGGAAGGCGGGCCCUUAACCCUUAGGGGCAGCGGGCGCCUAGGAGGGCGUUCGUGGAACCAGGACAGACGUGAUUGUCCCCAGCUGGCAGCCAAAGAACUGAGCCCCAACGAAGUUCAGUGAUUUGCUCCAGGAUGCCAGAGCAGCAGAAUCAAGAUCAGAACCCUAGUCCAGACCCCUGCACAACACGACGCAAGACAGAGAGCACCCAUGGAGAAUACAAACCCUCCCCAGACCCCCAGACUCAGUUUCUCUUCUUCAGGAAUUUGGAAGGAUCCAGGUGAGACACAUCCACUUGGCAGAUGUCAGCAGCACACAGAAGCUCUGCAUACUUUCAGGAAGUCUUGUGUGACUUUUGCUCAAUACCUGUCAUGUCCUGUGGACCCAGGGCUGGAGGAGGCACCUGGAGUCAGCCCUCUCAUCAUACAGCUCAGAAACCGAGGCCCAGAGAGUGGACAGCACGUGCCCGAAGUCCUACAGCUGGUUCAUGGCAGAGGCUUGACUAGGUAACCAGGUCUCUUGAGGCCAGACUCCAUGCUCUUUCCUCCAGGCCUACGGAAUCUUGCAAUUGCUCUAAGUUAGCUGUUGUGUAUCAAAAUCGUGUAAUGCCUUGGGGUUUACAUUGGCCAAAACUCAUUGAACUGCACGCUUAAAACCUGUACCGUC